GACGAACGCUGGCGGCGUGCCUAAUACAUGCAAGUCGAACGCAGUGGGGACGGGUGAGUAACACGUGGGUAACCUCCCAUCAGAGGGGAUAACACUUGGAAACAGGUGCUAAACCGAUACUGAUGGAUGGACCCGCGGUGCAUUAGCUAGUUGGGGAGGUAACGGCUCACCAAGGCCACGGUGCAUAGCCGAACCGAGAGGGUGAUAGGGCACCAUGGGACUGGGACACGGCCCCGCAUCCGACGGGAGGCAGGAGUAGGGAAGCUUUGGGAAUGGACGAAAGUGUGAACGAGCAAAGCCGCGGGAGGUAAGAAGGUUUUGGGAUCGGAAAACUCUGUUGUUAGAGAAGAGGUAUCUAACCAGAAAGGCACGGGUAACUACGGGCCAGCAGCCGCGGUUAAAC
rnacentral:rRNA from 1 species